rnacentral:lncRNA from 1 species
GCAUUGCUCAUGCCACUAAAGGAGAAGCAGCUCACAGAGGUUAAACUCAGAGACCUGUCGAGCUGGAUAUCAAUGUUGGAUUUCACCCCCGGUGGAAUUGCAGGAGCCUUUUGGAGAGGUUAUGACCAGUAUUACAAGUAUAUCAGGGUUCGGAAAGGCAGCAUCUCGGGGAUUAACAUGGUGCUGGCAGCCUACGUGGUUUUCAGCUACAAGGAACUCAAAGACG